rnacentral:rRNA from 1 species
GAGCGCUCGUAGCAAUACGAGAGCGGCAGACGGGAGAGUAACACGUGGGAACGUACCCUUCGGUUCGGAAUAACCCAGGGAAACUUGGGCUAAUACCGGAUACGUCCGUAAGGAGAAAGAUUUAUCGCCGAAGGAUCGGCCCGCGUCCGAUUAGCUAGUUGGUGAGGUAAUGGCUCACCAAGGCGACGAUCGGUAGCUGGUCUGAGAGGAUGAUCAGCCUCACUGGGACUGAGACACGGCCCAGACUCCUACGGGAGGCAGCAGUGGGGAAUAUUGGACAAUGGGCGCAAGCCUGAUCCAGCCAUGCCGCGUGGGUGAUGACGGCCUUAGGGUUGUAAAGCCCUUUCGGCGGGGAAGAUAAUGACGGUACCCGCAGAAGAAGCCCCGGCUAACUUCGUG